AUUUAUCAAAUCGCGUGUUGUGUUAAUGUUGCUGCUAGAAUCCAGAGGUGUUCGAAUGAUGCGCCGAACUCGAAGUUGCGCGGGGAGAAGCCCCUCGAUCUUGGUCUCUGCAGAAAUCACCGGUUCUCUUGAUAUGCCGCCGUGCCGGUCUCCCUCCUUUCAUCUUUGCUGAUUCUCUUCCCUCCGUCUCUUCAGCUGCUUCCAAGAGAACGGAAGAAGCAGGAGUACCAGGAUGCUGUACUGGAUCGUUAUAAGUACCUUCCAGAGAUUAAGCGAUUUGUUAGGCAUAGGCAUUUGCCGAAGCCAGUCUACAAGGCUAGUGCACUUAGGCGGACAAUCACUGAUGCUGAGAAGAGAAGAGAAGAUAGGAGGAAAGCUCACAGUGCACCUGGUUCUGUUGUCGCUGUUCCAUUUCGUAAAAGAAAAAUUGUGGCAUCAGUUGAAUGAGAACGAUCAGGACAUUGCGAUGGAAAGUUUACGUUCCUGGCAAAAAUGUGACUUCUUGGAGUACGAUGGGUAUUAUUGCAGUGUUCACCAGGACUCCAAAGCUGAGGUGAGCAUUAAUUGGUAAAUGUAUUCAGAGGAAAUGUCUGCCGUAUGUUCCAUGAACAAGGGGCAAGAAUCAAGAUGACGUUGAUGAUUGUCAUUCAUCUGCAAACUCGCCAGUUUUCUAAUGGUUGCGUUUGAUGUAUUCCCGCUGUCAGCAAGCGGGUUAAAGGCAUGGUUUGGAAAUCUAAAACAUUUGAUGCUUCAAGUUGAUGUAUAAAAUUGAAUUUUGAUUCUCAGAAGUAUUUGACUG